GACGGGGGGGGCAAGUGUUCUUCGGAAUGACUGGGCGUCAAGGGCACGUAGGCGGUGAAUCGGGUUGAAAGUGAAAGUCGCCAAAAAGUGGCGGAAUGCUCUCGAAACCAAUUCACUUGAGUGGGACAGAGGAGAGUGGAAUUUCGUGUGUAGGGGUGAAAUGCGUAGAUAUCGAGAGGAACACCUGCGGCGAAGGCGGGUUGCUGGGCUGAUACUGACGCUGAGGCGCGAAAGCCAGGGGAGCAAACAGG
rnacentral:rRNA from 1 species